rnacentral:lncRNA from 1 species
CAGGACUGGAAUUUCAGGAUUUUCAGGCCGGGAUUUGGGGAUUUUGGGACCGGAACUUCAGGAUUUAGGGCCAGAAUUUUGGCAAUUUGGGAUUUCAGGAUUUGAAGCUGGGAUUUUGGGAUUUUAGGACCUGGAUUUCGGUGCAGAAUUUUGGGAUUUUGGAGCUGGGAUUUCACGAUUUUAGGACCGGAAUUUCAGGAUUUUAGGGCCGGAAUUUGGGGAUUUUGGGGCUGGGAUUUUGGGAUUUGGAGAUUUUGGUGCCAGGAAUUUGGUGCUGGAUUUUCAGGAUUUUGGGACUGGAAUUUCAGGAUUUUGGUGCCGGGAUUUCAGGAUUUGGGGAUUUUAGUAUCAGAAUUUCAGGAUUUCAGGGACGGGAUUUGGGGAUUUUGGGACCAGAAUUUCGGGAUUUUGGUGCUGGAAUUUGGGGACUUUGGGACCGGAAUUUCGGGAUUUUACGGCUGGGAUUUUGGGAUUUAGAGGCCGGGAUUUCAGGAUUUUGGUGGUGGGAUUUUGGGAUUUCGGUACCAGAAUUUGGGGAUUUGGGUGUCAGAAUUUCGGGAUUUUGGGACGGGAAUUUCAGGAUUUUCGUGCCGGGAUUUGGGGAUUUCAGGAGCGGAAUUUCAGGAUUUGGGACGGAAUUUGGGGAAUGUUGGGAUUUGGUAUUUUGGUGCCAGGAUUUUGGGAUUUUGGGACUGGAAUUUCAGGAUUUUGGUGCCGGAAUUUCAGGAUUUCGGUACCAGAAUUUGGGGAUUUGGGUGCCGGAAUUUCGGUACUGGAAUUUGGGGAUUUCGGGACUGGAAUUUCGGGAUUCAGGGUGGGAAUUUCGGGAAUUUUGGGAUUUGUGCCAGGAAUUCGAGGAAUGUCGGGAUUUGGGGAUUUCGGUGCCGGAAUUUGGGGAUUUGGGGAUUUUGGUGCUGGAAUUUCGGGAUUUUGGGGAUUUUGGUGCCGGAAUUUGGGGAUUUUGGGAUUUCGGUGCCGGAAUUUGGGGAUUUUGGGGUUUCAGGACCAGAAUUUGGGGAUUUCAGUGCGGGAAUUUGGGGAUUUGGGGAUUUGGUGCUGGAAUUUCGGGAUUUUGGGGAUUUUGGUGCCGGAAUUUGGGGAUUUUAGGAUUUCAGUGCGGGAAUUUGGGGAUUUGGGGAUUUCGCUGCAGGAAUUUGGGGAUUUUGGGGUUUCAGGACCAGAAUUUGGGGAUUUCAGUGCUGGAAUUUCGGGAUUUUGGUAUUUCGGUGCUGGAAUUUGGGGAUUUGGGGAUUUUGGUGCUGGAAUUUCGGGAUUUUGGGGUUUCAGGCCCGGAAUUUGGGGAUUUCGGUGCCGGAAUUUGGGGAUUUUGGUAUUUUGGUGCUGGAAUUUGGGGAUUUUGGGGUUUCAGGACCGGAAUUUCGGGAUUUUGGUGCUGGAAUUUGGGGAUUUUGGGACCGGAAUUUCAGGAUUUUGGUGCUGGAAUUUGGGGAUUUUGGGUUUCAGGACCGGAAUUUCAGGAUUUUGGUGCUGGAAUUUGGGGAUUUCGGUGCCGGAAUUUGGGGAUUUUGGUAUUUCGCUGCAGGAAUUUGGGGAUUUUGGGGUUUCAGGCCCGGAAUUUGGGGAAUUUUUUGGGAAUUGCGGGGCUCACGUUGCCGUAGAUGUGCUGCAGCGCCUCGCGGGCGCUGGCCACGCCGG